rnacentral:rRNA from 1 species
AGUGGGGAAUAUUGCACAAUGGAGGAAACUCUGAUGCAGCCAUGCCGCGUGUGUGAAGAAGGCUUUCGGGUUGUAAAGCACUUUCAGCGAGGAGGAAAGGGUAUGUUUUAAUAGAGCAUAUCUGUGACGUUACUCGCAGAAGAAGCACCGGCUAACUCCGUGCCAGCAGCCGCGGUAAUACGGAGGGUGCGAGCGUUAAUCGGAAUUACUGGGCGUAAAGCGCGCGUAGGUGGUUAAUUAAGUCAGAUGUGAAAGCCCAGGGCUCAACCUUGGAACUGCAUUUGAAACUGAUUGACUAGAGUUUUGUAGAGGGUGGUAGAAUUUCAGGUGUAGCGGUGAAAUGCGUAGAGAUCUGAAGGAAUACCAGUGGCGAAGGCGGCCACCUGGACAAAGACUGACACUGAGGCGCGAAGGCGUGGGGAGCAAACGGGAUUAGAUACCCCGGUAGUCCACGCAGUAAACGAUGUCUAUUAGAAGUUUGUGGCUAUAUGCCGUGGGUUUCAAAGCUAACGCAUUAAAUAGACCGCCUGGGGAGUACGGCCGCAAGGUUAAAACUCAAAUGAAUUGACGGGGGCCCGCACAAGCGGUGGAGCAUGUGGUUUAAUUCGAUGCAACGCGAAGAACCUUACCAUCCCUUGACAUCCAGAGAAUCACCUAGAGAUAGAUGAGUGCCUUCGGGAACUCUGAGACAGGUGCUGCAUGGCUGUCGUCAGCUCGUGUUGUGAAAUGUUGGGUUAAGUCCCGCAACGAGCGCAACCCUUAUCCUUACUUGCCAGCGGGUCAUGCCGGGAACUUUAGGGAGACUGCCGGUGAUAAACCGGAGGAAGGUGGGGACGACGUCAAGUCAUCAUGGCCCUUACGGGAUGGGCUACACACGUGCUACAAUGGCAGAUACAAAGGGUUGCUAACCUGCGAAGGUAUGCGAAUCUCAUAAAGUCUGUCGUAGUCCGGAUCGGAGUCUGCAACUCGACUCCGUGAAGUUGGAAUCGCUAGUAAUCGUGGAUCAGAAUGCCACGGUGAAUACGU